AUCGAGUUUUGAAUCGGGGUUGUAGCUGGCCUUUCGGGGCAUGUGCACGCCCUGCUCAAUCCACUCUACACCUGUGCACUUAUUGUGGGUUUCGGGGGGCUUUUUGCCACUCGUACCUAUGUUUAUUUACAAACGCUUCAGUAAAAGAAUGUGUAUUGCGAUAACGCAUCUAUAU
rnacentral:misc_RNA from 1 species